UCUGGUGCGGAUAGCUGUGGGGAAACACCCGUUCCCAUUCCGAAUACGGCAGUGAAGUCCACAGCGCCGAUGAUACUUGGCUGGCGACGGCCUGGGAAAGUAGGUAGUGCCAGGA
rnacentral:rRNA from 1 species